rnacentral:piRNA from 1 species
UAAGAGCAGAGGCGGCCAGACUUUUGUUGA